rnacentral:rRNA from 1 species
ACGAACGCUGGCGGCGUGCCUAAUACAUGCAAGUCGCGCGGACUUUCAAGAAGCUUGCUUUUUGAAAGUUAGCGGCGGACGGGUGAGUAACACGUGGGCAACCUGCCUGCAAGACGGGGAUAACUCCGGGAAACCGGGGCUAAUACCGGAUAAUAUCUUCCUUCGCAUGAAGGAAGGUUGAAAGGCGGCGCAAGCUGCCGCUUGCAGAUGGGCCCGCGGCGCAUUAGCUAGUUGGUGAGGUAACGGCUCACCAAGGCGACGAUGCGUAGCCGACCUGAGAGGGUGAUCGGCCACACUGGGACUGAGACACGGCCCAGACUCCUACAGGAGGCAGCAGUAGGGAAUCUUCCGCAAUGGACGAAAGUCUGACGGAGCAACGCCGCGUGAGCGAAGAAGGUCUUCGGAUCGUAAAGCUCUGUUGUCAGGGAAGAACAAGUACCGUUCGAACAGGGCGGUACCUUGACGGUGCCUGACCAGAAAGCCACGGCUAACUACGUG